rnacentral:lncRNA from 1 species
GACUCCAGUUGAAUAUACAGGAUAUUUUCAUUCUAUCUGCCAUGUGUUAUAUGCCUGUUUUUAUGAAUUCAUUUUAUUUCUGUAUUCAUUUUAUAUUCUACAUUUUGCACCUGCCAAUUCCACUGUCUUAAGAGUUUGACUGUCUUCAUAUGGUGUCAAGAUGGCUCCUGGAAGCUCCACACUUAGCUGGUCAUUAAAGAUUAUGAUGUCACAGAAAGAUAGAAACCAUCUUGUCUUCAACAGCCUCAUCAACUCCUGGGAAGAUUGCUUAGGCCCAACCCGUGUGUACCUGGAGGAUUGCCACCCCCAUCUGCCUGCCCCUGUACUGGAAGCUGAUUGUCGCUCCCCACCUGCACUCUGGGACACUGCUUUGUACUGGCCAGUUUUCUAGACCAGCUUUACCCUGGACAAACGGGGGAAUUUUUUUUUUUUCUAUCUGGUGGGCUUAGCUAUACUUUCCCCAAUAAGGUAUGAACUUCAGCCUUGAGGAGAGAGUUUCACUCUGAGUUUGUCUUUCCUUGGAUACUCUCUCUCAUUCCUGGAGUAUCACACAGCAUUUUCAUAUCUGUUAUGAUUAUUCUUUUAUCAUAGAUUGAUGAUUCUUUAUAUUGAGCUUUGGUUGUUUAACUCACCAUAUGGUUUCUGUUUCGACCUACAUUAGUCAUUAGUCAGUGCAAAUUAAAACCACAAAGAGAUACAAUUAUAUAUACAUUUGAAUGGCUAAUCUGUUUUUUAAAAAAGUAUGGACAAUACCAAAUAUUGGUAAAGAUGUAGGGCACCUGGAAUUCUCAUUCACUAUUGGUGGGAAUAUGAAAUAUUAUUAGUACUUUGGGAAAAAAAGCCUCAAAGAUUCUUAUAAAACUAACAUACACUUAUUCUAAUAUUCAUCAGUUCUACUCCAAGAGAAAUCAAGACAUAUAUCCACAGAAAGGCUUGUAUAGGAAUGUUCUGAGAUAUUGUACUGAUAAUAGCCAAAGCUGAAAACAAAUGCCCGUCAAUAGGCACAUGGGUAAAUAGACUAUGGUGUAGUAAUUUGAUGGAGUACUACUUAGUGAUAAAAGAACAGAAAACACUGCUUUUGAGCAACAUUGAUGAAUCUCAAAAUCAUACUGAGUGAAAGAAGCCUUAAACAAAAUUUUCAUAUUAUAUGACUCUAUGAGAUUCUAGACCAAGUAAACUAAGGUUUGAUGGGGGGAAAACAGUGGUUGACUCUGUGAAGAAUAGAGAUUAAUUGGGAAGAGGCUUGCAAGAAUGUUCUGGAGUGAUGAAAGUAUUAUUAUACCUCUUGAUAUUCUCUGUGCAAAUACUAAGAAUGAAUCUUUAAAAAACGUGAAUUCAGGUUAUAUAGAUUAUGCAUUUGCCAAAACUUAUUGAAUGGUUCUGUUAAGAUUUGUGCAUUUCAUAGCAGUGCAUUUAACCUAAAAAUGUUUAAAGAAGCAAUGGUGUAAUGCUACAGUGCUUAGAUGAGAAGUAUACUGAUGCCUGCAACUUAUUUUGAAAUUCAUUCAAAAUACAGGUGGACUUAUGGAUGCAUAGAGGGAUGGCUAGAUGAAUAGACAUAUGAUAAAGCGAAUAUGGAAAAGUGUUAAUUGUGGAAUUUUUAACAGAGUGGUUAGAAUAUGGAUGUUCACCUUAAAACUUUUUUUUUCAAUUUUACUGUGUUUAAAAAAAAUAUAAGAAAUAAUUGGAAAAACACUGAAGGUGAUCAAAACCAUCUUAGACUUUUGUCUCAAAAUUAUUCAAAUCAUUCCCUGGCUUGGUAUGGUAUCAAAGUGCCAGUUUUGUAUGAGGCUUGAGAGCUAAGGGUCUAUUGUGAGCCCAUGAAGACUCAUUCAUAAUAUAGGUAUUUUUCCAGUGUUAAGACUGAAGAGAACUGACUUAAAUUUACUGUUAUAGCACUUCUCCUUUCUUAAAAUUUAUCAUGGCCUUUGCGAUGGCCUAGAGUGUCUUUGUUUUAUGUGAUGAAGGCAAGUGUGCUUUUAUGAAGGCAUAUAUUUAUAUUCUGUAAUCAUUAGAGACUUAGCCUGACUUUUAAACCAUACCACCAGGAACUAAUAUAUAAAUGGUUUCUAUCUAUUGCUAUUCAUUUCAUACAUGCAUAUGUUGAUUAAGUUGUAAAUUCCCCAAUGUAGAAACCAUCUUCUGUUUAUUUUGCUUCUCUACCCAGAGAAUAUUGUACAGUGCUGUAGACACAGGGGAUAUUUAAAUGCUGAUGAUGUCAAUUAUUGAGAUGUUUAAAAUCUUUUUGAAAUAUCCAGGUUAAGGCUGGACUCUUACUAAAUAAUACUUAGUUCACUCAGAGUUAGUGGUAUAGCUAAGAUUAUGUAGUUUACUCACAUACACAAUCUUUGAUUUCUUUAAUUCUAUAUUAUAGAAAGUUCAAAAUAGCUUUUAUAUUAGGCACUGAUUUUAUUUUUAUACAAUAGACAAAGAAUCAACAGCUAAUUAAGUCCACUUUGGACAUAUAAUCCUCCUGUACUCCCAACACGUCUACCAUAGGAUGCCAAUGAAGGACCACCUCCUCACCCCCAGGGAAACAAAUGUCUUAAAUACCAGUAAGCCAUGGACAACUAGUGAUCAGAUUACAGAUCUUAAGUCAUCAUAGGGGAAAGAAAAAUACAUGUGGACUUAUAACCCCAAAGUAAUGGUAUUCCCUUAAAUAUAGGUUUCUCUUUCAAAUUGCGAGGGGAAAUGCUUUAAAAAAGAAAAUAUGAGGCACUGUUAUAUGUAAGUAUGACAGCUUUGAAUCAGUCUUCCAGGUUAAUAAGGGGAAAUAGCUUUACCAAUAGGUAAAGACAAAAAUUAGAGGUCAUAUAUUUCUUUGAACAUCAGCUCAAUUCCAACUCAAAGACCCCAAAACGUUCCUAAGGUACAUAUCAGAAAAAUACCAGGAUGCUCACCAAGAGUCAUCAUGUGAUUAUUGCUAGCAACAAGAAUCCAGAAGGGUGAGGUUAGCUAUCUCUAGGAAGGCUUCCCAGAAACACUCAAUUCUGAACUGAGAUUUGCAGACAUCACCGUUGAGAUUCAGAAGGCUGGCUCUUAGGCAACAGAAAAUGACCAAUGGAGAACGCAAUCACUGAAAAUCCUGUGAUGUGUGACAUGUGAGGAUAAUGUGCUGAAAUAACAUAGAUAUACAAAAUCUAGAAAGUGGUGGUGGAGGCUGCUAGGGGGAAUAAAAACUUGUCAAUAUUUAUUAUUUUCCCAAAUAUUUUAUCUAAAAGAAAUCAGCAGUCCAGUUUCAAGAAACUCAGAGAGACCCAUUCAUCUAUAACUUCACUUGAAUGAAAUAAAAUAUUUACUAACACCAUAAGCAUCUUUUACUGUCCUGAUAUAUUUACUGGCAAACACUGUAAUUACUAAUUUGAUUUUUUAGGUACUAAGAUACCAAGAAGAUAACGAUGAUAAGAAACAUGGACAUUCCAGUCCACUUACAAGUUUACCUUUAUUUCAAAUUACUUAAAUUUCUAGUACUAAGCAGUCUAAGUUUGUACAUUCCAUGUCUAUAUUAUGAAAUUUAGAUAACUUCUGGAUCAAAAGAUACUAAGUUUUCAGACUUUGAAAAGUAUAUUAACUGACUUGUAGGUGACAUUAACACAAUUGUUUUGUGUUUAUUUAUGAGCUUCACAAACACAUCGGUAACACAGUACCUGUUAGCAAUUCCAUAUUUGUAGCAAUUCCAAAUCAUCCCCAAAGCACAUAUCUUCUUCACCUAAAACCUGUUAUGAGUGUGUAUGUGUAUAUACCAAUAUAGACCAAUAUGAUUUUUAGUUCCUUGCAAGUGUAUAUAACCUUAUCAAUUAUUUCAAAUAAUUUUCAGUAUUGUAUAAACCAUGUAGUAAAUUUUUUUGCAGUGAUUGUAACCAUAAUUUUUUUUGUAACCAUAAUUUUUAAUUAAAAAUACCUAUCGGCUGAGAGAGCAUGAUGGCGUAUUCUUCCCCCAAAGCCUUCCCUAAAGGCAGUUUAGGGUUUGUUAGUUUUCUUUUUUU